rnacentral:lncRNA from 1 species
GCUGGACGCUGCCUUCCGGUAGCGAUGAGCCCGUCCCCGGCGCUCCCAGGGUCGCCGGCGGGCGCUGAGGAGGGCGGGCGCCGCGGGGGUGUCACCGAACGGGAUUUCCCGCCUCCAUAAGCACUCAGCGACUGGAGCCAGGUACACCUAUGAAAUACCAAUUGUUUAGUUAUGUGACCCGAUGCAGAAGAAGAAAGAUAUAUUUCACUGGAAGGUUUCAAACAGGUUAACAUCUUCAAGCAGUUAACAGCUCACCACUAACAGGUAGCCUGUGGAGAUGCAGCUGAGCACUAGAGAACAAGAAACAUGCACUCUUUCAGCAUGAUGGCUUUUUCAGGAGCCAAGUCUAUCCUAAGCUUUGCUGGUGUUCCUGGAAGUUGACUCCCUGGCACAGAGAAGCCGAGUUGCCAGGUCCACUGUUGGACUCCACAACAUCUCUAGGCCAGGUCUCCUGCCUUAUACAUGUGGUAAGAGUUUUAUAACACGGACUUUUCAUAUAGGAAGUUUUACAUGCUAUCUCUCUGUCUCCAGGGAGGUGGGAAUAGAAAGCUAGUUCCAUGUGGGAUUUUCAUGUGCUUUCUUUUCACCUUCUUAAUUCUCCAGAAGUCCAGCUGAUGGAGCAUUUUUUCCACUAGAGAUCCCUCAAGAUUUUAGUUUUGGUAAUGACUAAAGCAAAAUGGUGUUAUUGUUAGGAAGCAGGAAUAACAAUGUCAUGGGAUUUUUAAAGCUGUUCCUCUAUAGCCAGUUAACAUGCUAACAUUGUUGCAGAAAAUAAUUACUUCAUUAUUAAAUUGUGAGAAUGAAAUAGUGAGCUUGUUUCUAAAUAGGACUAAUCACUCCAGAAUUACUCUGUGCCAGUAUUUUUAUUCCGGAGCAGGCAAUUUGCAUGGGGAAUUAUUCUGGACUAGGGGUGGCUAAACCAAUUACAAUUUCCCUCCUGUCUUGAGAGAGAGCACAUAUUGGCACUGUGGUGCAGUACAUGGGACUUUGAAAUAAAAUAAUUGUGUGUUACCAAAACUUGCCCACAAACACUGAAUGGCUACAGAAUUUGAUCACAAUUAUCAGAAGAAAAAUUUCUGUUAGACUUUAGUGUCUGCCAAGCACUUAAUGUCACUCACAGGUGUUAAUGCACAUUUGUUUUUGCUGUAACUCCAUUACUCCUGUAGGCAUUAUACCACUGAUUAGUUCUAGUUUUGUCCAUCUGCAAAGUCACUAAAAUAGAAGCAUGUGGGAGAGGAUUUUUCCAACACAAAAUAUAAGUGCUUACAUGAAGAAAUUAAGAAAAAAAAAAUGCAUUUUGCGUUCUGUAAAAACCAUGGCACCAACGUAAAAAUGCCUCUGGCAUUCUAGUAAAUAUUAGCUUAAUCCAAACUUGCUUGCACAAUUCUUGUUUUCUGCAUUGUCCUUAGUAGUUACAUAACUAUGUUGGCACAUGUGGAAUGUCAGACAAAUAAAAAGGUAUCUUCU